ACAUGCGUGUGUGCGUGCGUUUGUAUGUGUGUGGAGCAUGCGCGCGCGCAAUAAAUAUCCGUGAAAAAAUGAUUAAUUAAAUGUAUGAAUGUAGAAAAAUAUUGUAUCGAGACUUAAUAUUAUUGAUCCACUAAUACGUUUCACAUUUAUGUACUGUUACGUAUUUCGAAUGCGAUCAGCUGUGACAACAUGGCGGGCAUGCCGUUUAUUGCUUGACCGAUUUAAAUUAAGAUUACAAGGUUCUAGAAACAGAGUCACGCAGAUAUAUAUAUUCGCUCAGUAUAAACAAGAGUGGCAAAAAUUGACUGGAUUUUUAAUAUAAAUGUAAUAGAAAGUCUGUCCUCUCGAGCAUACAUCUCAUCACGUCGUCUUAUUGCAGUUUUACAUUGUGAAUCAUCAGUAAAACUACGUCAUUGAUAUGUAGUGGAAGAUACUGCAACGUACAUUUUCAACCAUUGCAUCAUAUUCGAUGAUGAAAAUAUCAAAAUCAUUUACAAUCAAUUUUACUGUUAUCAACCUGCAGUAAGGACGACUAUUGAUCAAGCUUUGAAGCACACAUUUGACGAAAAGGCAUUUAGACUGAAACAUAGAAGCAUUUGGAGCGAAUGUGCGUUCGAAAAAUUGGAAAUUGUGUUUUUACGUUGUAAAUGUAAAAACAUGAAGAAAUUGACUCUAUGGAAAAUUAAUAUGUUUUAAAUUUAAUCAACAAUGAUUCAGUAGAUGGAUAUUAAAAAGUUUCAGUUUUUUUAAUGAUUAGAAAGGAUAUAAUGUGGUAUAAAAUGUGUUAUAAUACCGUAUAGUUGGAAGUAUCGCAUAAUCGCAAACGCUUGGUACAUAGUCUUGAUAAAGAGACAAGAUAGCUGUCUUAAAUAAUUUUCGAGAUAUCGUGACAGCUUGAAUGACAAAACAAGGACAUUUUACUAUUAUUCUCUCUUACAAAUUGCGUAUCGCGUGUAUAUAUGUAUUCGUGCAUACAUUGGCACACCUAUAAAAUCUCUUCUGCGAAGUUGCCUAAUCAGUUUUUU